AUUGAACGCUGGCGGCGUGCCUAACACAUGCAAGUCGAGCGGUAACAGGUGUAGCAAUACAUGCUGACGAGCGGCGGACGGGUGAGUAACGCUUGGGAAUCUGCCUAUUAGUGGGGGACAACCCGGGGAAACUCGGGCUAAUACCGCAUACGCACUACGGUGGAAAGCCGGGGACCGCAAGGCCUGGCGCUAACAGAUGAGCCCAAGUCGGAUUAGCUAGUUGGUAGGGUAACGGCCUACCAAGGCGACGAUCCGUAACUGGUCUGAGAGGACGACCAGUCACACCGGAACUGAGACACGGUCCGGACUCCUACGGGAGGCAGCAGUGGGGAAUAUUGGACAAUGGGCGAAAGCCUGAUCCAGCGACGCCGCGUGGGUGAAGAAGGCCUGCGGGUUGUAAAGCCCUUUCAGUGGGGAAGAAAAGCCUCGAGCUAAUAUCUCGGGUCUUGACGUAACCCAUAGAAGAAGCAUCGGCUAACUCUGUGCCA
rnacentral:rRNA from 1 species